rnacentral:rRNA from 1 species
CAGCUCAAAUUUGAAAUCUGGCCCCCAGGGCCCGAGUUGUAAUUUGCAGAGGAUGCUUUUGGCGAGGUGCCUUCCGAGUUCCCUGGAACGGGACGCCAUAGAGGGUGAGAGCCCCGUCUGGUUGGAUGCCGAGCCUCUGUAAAGCUCCUUCGACGAGUCGAGUAGUUUGGGAAUGCUGCUCUAAAUGGGAGGUAUAUGUCUUCUAAAGCUAAAUAUUGGCCAGAGACCGAUAGCGCACAAGUAGAGUGAUCGAAAGAUGAAAAGCACUUUGAAAAGAGGGUUAAAAAGUACGUGAAAUUGUUGAAAGGGAAGCGCUCAUGACCAGACUUGGGCCCGGUGAAUCAACCAGCGUUCUCGCUGGUGCACUUUGCCGGGCUCAGGCCAGCAUCAGUUUGCUCCGGGGGAUAAAGGCUCUGGGAAUGUGGCUCCUCCGGGAGUGUUAUAGCCCACUGCGCAAUACCCUGGGGCGGACUGAGGACCGCGCAUCUUGCAAGGAUGCUGGCGUAAUGGUCAUCAGCGACCCGUCUUGAAACACGGACCAAGGAGUCGUCUUCGUAUGCGAGUGUUCGGGUGUCAAACCCCUACGCGUAAUGAAAGUGAACGCAGGUGAGAGCUUCGGCGCAUCAUCGACCGAUCCUGAUGUUCUCGGAUGGAUUUGAGUAAGAGCAUACGGGGCCGGACCCGAAAGAAGGUGAACUAUGCCUGUAUAGGGUGAAGCCAGAGGAAACUCUGGUGGAGGCUCGCAGCGGUUCUGACGUGCAAAUCGAUCGUCAAAUAUGGGCAUGGGGGCGAAAGACUAAUCGAACC